rnacentral:rRNA from 1 species
GACAGAGGGUGCGAACGUUGUUCGGAAUUACUGGGCGUAAAGCGUGCGUAGGCGGUCCGCGAAGUCUGAUGUGAAAGCCCCGGGCUCAACCUGGGAACUGCAUUGGAAACUAACGGGCUCGAGUGUGGCAGAGGGGGGUGGAAUUCCACGUGUAGCAGUGAAAUGCGUAGAGAUGUGGAGGAACACCGAUGGCGAAGGCAGCCCCCUGGGCUAACACUGACGCUCAGGCACGAAAGCGUGGGGAGCAAACAGG